rnacentral:rRNA from 1 species
GAUGAACGCUGGCGGCGUGCCUAAUACAUGCAAGUCGAGCGAACAGACGAGGAGCUUGCUCCUCUGACGUUAGCGGCGGACGGGUGAGUAACACGUGGAUAGCCUACCUAUAAGACUGGGAUAACUUCGGGAAACCGGAGCUAAUACCGGAUAAUAUAUUGAACCGCAUGGUUCAAUAGUGAAAGACGGUUUUGCUGUCACUUAUAGAUGGAUCCGCGCCGCAUUAGCUAGUUGGUAAGGUAACGGCUUACCAAGGCAACGAUGCGUAGCCGACCUGAGAGGGUGAUCGGCCACACUGGAACUGAGACACGGUCCAGACUCCUACGGGAGGCAGCAGUAGGGAAUCUUCCGCAAUGGGCGAAAGCCUGACGGAGCAACGCCGCGUGAGUGAUGAAGGUCUUCGGAUCGUAAAACUCUGUUAAUAGGGAAGAACAAAUGUGUAAGUAACUAUGCACGUCUUGACGGUACCUAAUCAGAAAGCCACGGCUAACUACGUG